UUGACGUAUAAGUCAGCUGUGAAAGUUUACGGCUCAACCGUGAAAUUGCAGUUGAUACUGUAUGUCUUGAGUGUACAAGAGGUGGGCGGAAUUCGUGGUGUAGCGGUGAAAUGCUUAGAUAUCACGAAGAACUCCAAUUGCGAAGGCAGCUCACUGGGGUACAACUGACACUGAGGCUCGAAAGUGUGGGUAUCAAACAGGAUUAGAUACCCUGGUAGUCCACACAGUAAACGAUGAAUACUCGCUGUUUGCGAUAUACAGUGAGCGGCCAAGCGAAAGCAUUAAGUAUUCCACCUGGGGAGUACGCCGGCAACGGUGAAACUCAAAGGAAUUGACGGGGGCCCGCACAAGCGGAGGAACAUGUGGUUUAAUUCGAUGAUACGCGAGGAACCUUACCCGGGCUUGAAUUGCAGAGGAACAUAGUUGAAAGAUUAUGGCCGCAAGGUCUCUGUGAAGGUGCUGCAUGGUUGUCGUCAGCUCGUGCCGUGAGGUGUCGGCUUAAGUGCCAUAACGAGCGCAACCCUUAUCAUUAGUUACUAACAGGUCAUGCUGAGGACUCUAGUGAGACUGCCGUCGUAAGAUGUGAGGAAGGUGGGGAUGACGUCAAAUCAGCACGGCCCUUACGUCCGGGGCUACACACGUGUUACAAUGGGGGGUACAGAGGGCAGCUACCGGGCGACCGGAUGCCAAUCCCAAAAACCUCUCUCAGUUCGGAUCGAAGUCUGCAACCCGA
rnacentral:rRNA from 1 species